AGAGACUUGGGCAAUGUGACUGCUGAUCAGC
rnacentral:misc_RNA from 1 species